rnacentral:lncRNA from 10 species
AGGGAACAGACUAUUUCCCAGGCUGUACACAUUUGCUGAAUCUUCACAAAGGCAGGGUAACCAUGGUGAGAAAGAUGUUGAUGGCUUGGAUGGAGAACAGGUACAGGAGAGGAGAACACCUUUAAAAAUGGAGACCUAUGUCACUUUUACAAAGGAAAAUUUAUGCUGUGAUUUUAGGCAGAAAGUUGACACCAGAGAAUUCUUCCUGCUGCUUCUCAAUUUCCUUCAGCUCAAAAAUGAUCCUUAUGCCAAUAUGGAAUAUUUUUGGGGUGGCAUAUUCUGCUCCUCUUCAGCAUCCUUCCUGCUCUGUGGCCUGUUGUGCUUCAAUUUCGUCAUCUUCAAAACCAGGAAGAGCUAUAUUCAUCUUAUCUCACAAAGCUGAUUAACAUAAAUGAAGGAGCCUUGGAAAAUGGAAAGCAUUAUACAAAUUAGGGUAUAACCACAUGACUAAUGUCACAUAUAAAAAUGGAGAACGGGUGCACAUUAAAGAGUAGGUAAGUGGUUAAUAUACUUUUUCUCUCUCAAUCCUCCCAACCUGCCCUCUUUACCUUUAUCUCUCCAAAAUAACAUGUUUGUUGUUUAAUAGAGAUGACAUCGUCCUAAUCUAAGGCUUAAGAUUCCUGUAACUCUUAAGUCACACUUUGCCAAAUUUUUAUUCAAUCACUGAAGGCUCACAUUGCCUCUGAAAGAAAAAAAAAAAGCAAGUGAAAUAUUUCUGACUGUGAGUGUUCUUAUAUUGGCAUCUUAGUGUGAACUUAGGGGAUAUGUUAGCGUUGACUGUUUUCUGUAUCACCUCAGGUGUAUUUUGUCUUUCCCCUCUUGACUUCACUUACCCACUCACUCUGACUAAUGUCCUAGCAGUGGCAAGCAUGUAGAUGUCUAAAAAUGUAGAAAUUGUAAGAAAGAGGCUGUUUCAGGGCAGCAUUUGGAAGUGGCUAUUGUGUAGGGCUAACCAUAUCUCUCUCCUGCCAGAGGUCAUGGCCUUGUUGAUGGUCUCUAGUCAAGAGCAAUCCCAUUAGUGAAAAAAAAAAAAAAAAAGAAAACCAGCACUGACAGUGACUGCUUCCAAAUAUUCUCCUGUCUGCUACUAUAGAAUUUCCUAGUGUUUCCCAUCUUGUCAAUUCCUUUCCCUCACCUUUUUUACACUGAGUGAACAACUUUUAUUUGAAGUGUUAGGUACUAACCCAGUUCUCUCACCCUUUACUCUGCUUCCUUCCUUUCUUAAAUGCUUCCUGCUUUGUAACCCUCUGCAGCUAGUGAUACAUUAGUUUAUGUUUGUGUUUUCUCAAGAAGUGAAACUGUUGUAGGUUGACCUAUUAUAUAGAAGUACAUACUCCUCAGUAGAAGGCAACUUAUGAUUGUAGAAACUGGGUGUUUCGUGAGAAGUUGCUACUUAACUGACCAAUUAGGAAAAGGGGUACAGAAAUGAUUGAGACCUCCAAGGAGAUACAGAUUCAUUUAAGUUGAGUGUACUGCUGCAGACAUCAUUUUGAAUAUCUGUAUUACGAGUAAAUGGUGGAAAUUUGAAGACAAGUCCAUACUUUAUGAAAGUAAGAGAACAAGAAAUUUGUUUCCCUAAAUCUGUGAGCAUACCCUAUAAUUCAUCAGAAACAGCAAAUUCACAAACACAAAAUUGACAGAAAUAUGUAAAACUUUUCCAGCAGUUUACUUCUGAAUACAUUAGAAAAUGUGACAGAACAUAGUAAAUUUCUUGUCAUUUUACUUCCCAAGGGAAGUGCUAGGUUUGUAAAUCCUAGAAUAUCAUCAAAUUAUAUUUUGAAAUUUAUUUCUUUUUGAGCUAGAAUUUUAAAAGAUUACAUGUUUUUUCACAGAAUACGUUCAUCCAGUUACUAAUAAUGAUGCUGAAGGAAUGGAAAUGUAAUUUCUAGAAAUCAUCACUUUUCAAAGUUUUAUAGUUUGUGAACUGGAAUACUGAAGAUGGAAGUAUGAUUUAAUAUUUGGUAGAAACAGGAGAGUUUGUUAUUUGUAGCUCUGAUAUUAGAAAUUACUUGAGGUUUCUGUUACCAAACUUCACAAAAUAUAUUUCAUAAAAAGCAUUCUUAACUCAGGUUAUACAUUUUUUAAAAAUUAUUCUGAAAGGAAUUAGAUAUUUAACAUUGUAGCUGACCUAAAUAAAUUGGAGAAAAUUCUUAAACAAUUAUCUUUCAUUUUCCCAUCAAUAAAUGGAGCAAUAAUAAUACCUAAUUAUUUAUUGCACAGGAGUCUUGCAAUAAUUAAUUAAAGCUUUAAAGUACUUUGAAGAUGAAAACAAUUUUAUAGGCCUCAUUAUUAAAGGUAAUUUGUUAUGGUAACCAGUCAAAGUCAUUCAUUUGGUCUUUUAAACUUGUUUUUAAAUGCUCUAUUCGGAUCCAGGUGUUAAUUAAAAAAUUUUAAAACAACACUUAGGAAACAUAUGAAAUUCUGCUUUCUAUCUUGAUGCUUAACUUGUGAAAUAAUAGGUAAGUUUUUUUUCCGAAUUUUGUUUUUUUCAUGUUUAUACGCCUCUCUCAAAUCCCAUUGAGUGAGCGAGUAUUGCUCCCAGCUCAUUAUUACAAAAAGAGGUUUGCCAUGUUAAAGCCACUAAGAUUUUUCUUUUUCUGAAGCUCUUUACUUAAUGCAAAGACAAAGUGUCAUCUAUGAUAACAAUUCUGCAUAUGGAAAACACAAGGUUAUUCAUCCAUUUAAACAUUUAUUGAGCAAAUGCUAUAGUUUAAAAAAGAUAAGCCACUCGGUAAAUUGGAAAAUAUAGUAAUAUGUCACUUGCAUGAAAUUUUUAUCCAAUGAAAUAAUCAAGUAAUUAAAUUUAAGGUGAAAGUGAUUGAUGUAAUAUAGGUUAAAAGCCAGUAUGGCAAAGGCUGAAACAUUACAAAGAGAGGCAUCAAAUGUGGUUUUGGGAAGCACUCAAUUUUUGUGUAGAUAAUAUCCUAGAUGUACCUGUAUUUCAUAGGAAAGAAGGCAGUAGUGGUAUUCUAGAACAGUGGUUCUCAACAAGGGCAAUAGUCCCCUGUCCCCCAUUCCUGGGACAUUUAUCAAUUUCUGGAAAUAUUUUUGGUUGUCACAACUAGGGAAGUGCUACUUGCAUCUAGUGGGAAGCUACUAAACAUCCUACAAAACACAGGACGGCCCACCACAACAGAGAAUUAUCCAGCCCUAAAUAUCAACAAAACUGAGCUUGAGGAAGUCUGCUCUUGUUGGAAAACACAGAACUAUCAAGGCACCAGAUGGAGAAAGUAUAAGAUGUAUAUCAGGAAUAGCUUGGCAGGAGUAGACGUUGAAGGUAACAUUGAAAAUGCUUUAGGAUAGCCUUGAUUAUUAGAUUAGACUACAAAGCUGACUCAUUGAAUCACUCACGCACUGUGAGUCAUUCAAUAAACAUUUAUAUCUCAGGCAAUACGGACAGAGAGAUAGAAGAUAUAGAUGCUGCUGUAAAGUUUACAAUUUAGUUGGAGACAGUCAGAUAAACCACCCACUGUGUGAACAAAGUGAUAUCUGUCAAACACCAAUUCUACUGUGUCUUUAAAAAAAGUUCAAUUAAAAAUAAAUUUUGGAAAGAGUAUGCACUACAUACUUCUCCACAACUUGGGACUAUAUACAAUCUUGUUUUGUGUAUCAGUUUGCCUUUAUUUCAGCCAGCAUUUCUUUUGGCAGUGUACUUUUAAUUCCCUUUUAUAUAACAACUAUUAGCAACCCAUGACGUAUUGGAUAGCUUCCCUUCCAGACUCACUCUGGACCCUUCUCUGUGCUAUUCCAGGCUCAAGAUACUGAUCUUCGGGAACUUCAUGCUGAGUGUCCCUGUGUUCGGUUCUUGAUUGUGUUUGGCCCAAGAGGGACAUUUAUAGGAGAUGAGAGGGUGAGAGGAGACAGGGGUUGGGGCAUUUGGUCCCUCAACUCCCUCCUCCAAAUAGCCAGGUCACCACAGACUUGCUGCAUCCCUCCACUGAAGGCCACACUCCUUUCAGAUGCCCUUUCUUAUAGAGCUACCCUGUCUGGGUCCUUAUAACUGUUUCCUCUCCUUAUCCCUUCUAUCUAAAGCUGGCAAUGUUCCUCAUCUGUUGUGAGCUGUAUGCUGCUUCACUAUCCCUCUUUAGGAAACUGCCUACACAUUUGUAAAAAUCCUUUAUUAAGCACUCCUCAAAGUGCCAGUCUAGGAUUCUCAUUGUUAUAUAUGGGGAACAUGACUUGGGAACUGCUUGUAUGGUAGUUGCUUUUAAAAAGAGUUCUGCAUAGGAAGGAGUCCGAAAAGUUUAAAUUUCAUAUUAUGACUUAUGCACAUCUAUUGAAGAAUGUAUCUGUUAGCUUAUUUAUUCCUGCAUGUAUGUAUGUAUCUGUAUGUAUGUAUUUAUUUAUUUUGAGAUGGAGUCUAGCUGUCGCCCAGGCUGGAGUGCAGUGGUGUGAUCUCAGCUCAGUGCAACCUCCACCUCCCGGCUUCAAGCAAUUCUCCUGCCUCAGCCUCCCGAGUAGCUGGGAUUAUAGGAACCUGCCACCACACCCAGCUAAUUUGUGUGUGGUGUGUGUAUUUAGUAGAGACAGGGUUUCGUCAUGUUGUCCAGG